UACGUAGGGGCCAAGCGUUGUCCGGAUUUAUUGGGCGUAAAGAGCUCGUAGGCGGUUCGGCAAGUCAGCUGUGAAAUCUCCACGCUCAACGUGGAGGGGUCAGCUGAUACUGCUGUGACUUGAGUCCGGUAGGGGAGUGUGGAAUUCCCGGUGUAGCGGUGAAAUGCGCAGAUAUCGGAAGGAACACCAGUAGCGAAGGCGGCGCGCUGGAUCUCUUCUGACGCUGAGGCGCGAAAGCCAGGGGAGCAAACGGG
rnacentral:rRNA from 1 species